rnacentral:rRNA from 1 species
UUGGGAAUCUUGGACAAUGGGGGAAACCCUGAUCCAGCCAUGCCGCGUGAGUGAUGAAGGCCUUCGGGUUGUAAAACUCUUUCGACGGGGACGAUAAUGACGGUACCCGUAGAAGAAGCUCCGGCUAACUUCGUGCCAGCAGCCGCGGUAAUACGAAGGGGGCUAGCGUUGUUCGGAAUUACUGGGCGUAAAGCGCGCGCAGGCGGUUCUCCAAGUCAGUGGUGAAAGCCCGGAGCUCAACUCCGGAACUGCCAUUGAAACUGUUGAACUUGAGGACGAGAGAGGUGAGUGGAAUUCCCAGUGUAGAGGUGAAAUUCGUAGAUAUUGGGAAGAACACCAGUGGCGAAGGCGGCUCACUGGCUCGUAUCUGACGCUCAGGCGCGAUAGCGUGGGGAUCAAACA